GACGAACGCUGGCGGCGUGCCUAAUACAUGCAAGUAGAACGCACAGUUUAUACCGUAGCUUGCUACACCAUAGACUGUGAGUUGCGAACGGGUGAGUAACGCGUAGGUAACCUGCCUGGUAGCGGGGGAUAACUAUUGGAAACGAUAGCUAAUACCGCAUAAUAUUAAUUAUUGCAUGAUAAUUAAUGGAAAGGUGCAAUUGCACCACUACCAGAUGGACCUGCGUUGUAUUAGCUAGUAGGUGAGGUAACGGCUCACCUAGGCGACGAUACAUAGCCGACCUGAUAGGGUGGUCGGCCACACUGGGACUGAGACCCGGCCCAGACUCCUACGGGAGGCAGCAGUAGGGAAUCUUCGGCAAUGGACGAAAGUCUGACCGAGCAACGCCGCGUGAGGGAAGAAGGUUUUCGGAUCGUAAAGCUCUGUUGUAAGAGAAGAACGGGUGUGAGAGUGGAAAGUUCACACUGUGACGGUAUCUUACCAGAAAGGGACGGCUAACUACGUG
rnacentral:rRNA from 1 species